rnacentral:rRNA from 1 species
GGUUCGAUCCUGGCUCAGAUUGAACGCUGGCUGGAUGCUUUACAUGCAAGUCGAACGGCAGCACGGACUUCGGUCUGGUGGCGAGUGGCGAGCAGGUGAGUAAUGUAUCGGAACGUGCCUAGUAGCGGGGGAUAACUACGCGAAAGCGUAGCUAAUGCCCGCAUACGCCCUUCUAGCGGGGGAAAACAGGGGACCUUCAGACUCCACUAUUAGAGCGGCCGAUAUCGGAUUAGCUAGUUGGUGGGGUAACGGCUCACCCAAGGCGACGAUCCGUAGCUGGUUUGGAGGACGACCAGCCACUGGGACCGAGACACGGCCCAGACUCUGGGAGGCAGCAGUGGGGAAUUUUUUGGACAAUGGGAAACCCUGAUCCAGCCAUCCGUGUGCGAUGAAGGCCUUCAGGUUGUAAAGCACUUUUGGCGGAAAGAAACGGCACGGGAUAAUACCCGUGCAACUGACGACACCCCUGCAGAAUAAGCACCGGCUAACUACGUGCCAGCAGCCGCGGUAAUACGUAGGGUGCAAGCGUUAAUCGGAAUUACUGGGCGUAAAGCGUGCCAGGCGGUUCGGAAAGAAAGAUGUGAAAUCCCAGAGCUUAACUUUGGAACUGCAUUUUUAACUACCGAGCUAGAGUGUGUCGGGGGGUGGAAUUCGCGAUGUAGCAGUGAAAUGCGUAGAUAUGCGGAGGAACACCGAUGGCGAGGCAACCUCCUGGGAUAACACUGACGCUCAUGCACGAAAGCGUGGGGAGCAAACAGGAUUAGAUACCCUGGUAGUCCACGCCCUAAACGAUGUCAACUAGCUGUUGGGGCCUUCGGGCCUUGGUAGCGCAGCUAACGCGUGAAGUUGACCGCCUGGGGUACGGUCGCAAGAUUAAAACUCAAAGGAAUUGACGGGGACCCGCACAAAGCGGUGGAUGAUGUGGAUUAAUUCGAUGCAACGCGAAAAACCUUACCUACCCUUGACAUGUCUGGAAUCCCGAGAUUUGGGAGUGCUCGCAAGAGAACCGGAACACAGGUGCAUGGCUGUCGUCGCUCGUGUCGUGAGAUCAUUAUUUGGGUUAAGUCCCGCAACGAGCGCAACCCUUGUCAUUAGUUGCUACGAAAGGGCACUCUAAUACGGAGACUGCCGGUGACAAAACCGGAGGAAGGUGGGGGUGACGUCAAGUCCUCAUGGCCAUAUGGUGGGCACGUCAUACAAUGGUCGGGACGGGGGUCAUCAACCCGCGAGAGAGCCAAUCAGAAACCCGAUCGUAGUCCGGAUCGCAGUCUGCAACUCGACUGCGUGAAGUCAAGAUCGCUAGUAAUCGCGGAUCAGCAUGUCGCGGUGAAUACGUUCCCGGGUCUUAUACACACCGCCCGUCACACCAUGGGAGUGGGUUUCACCAAAUGAUUCGCCCCAACCGUGAGGCGAUUACCGUGGGAUUCAUGACUGGGGUGAAGUCGUAACAAAGGUAG